rnacentral:pre_miRNA from 1 species
UAGUUUUGUCCUAAGUCAGUCAAAUUCCCUAACUUUGACAGAGAGUAUAGAAAAAUGCAGCAUCUACAAAUCAAUCUAAUAUCAAAACAUAUUUCAUGGUGGGUUUAAUGGAACUAGUUUGAUGUUGUAGAUGUUGGUGCAUUUUUUUAUAAACUAGGCUAAAGUUAGAGGAAAUUGACUUGGGACAAAACUAA